GCGCGGUUAGUGUAGUGGUUAUUACUCUCGCCUCCCAAGCGAGCGACCCGGGUUCGAAUCCCGGACCGCGCA